ACGAGUGUCCUCACAUUCACCUCACUCCUCCAGGAAAACACUUUAUAUCCUGCUUUCUAAUUCAAGACACUUACUUUAUGUGCAGGUUAAAUUUAGACGCCUUAAUGCUGCAGCAGCAGCAGCAGCAGGACGUACAGUGGUGAGAGUUAAUGAGGAAGAAGAAGAAGAAGAAAAAAAAGGCUUUAAUUUGACUGGUGAUGGCGUUAAGACUCGUUCACGCUGCUGAGUUACGAGCUAAUUAAAAAAUUAACAGGAGUUUGACAGUUUUUACCGCCGCGUCUGACUCAGCGACAGAAUCGCUGAUUAAGUUUGAUGCACGAGCCGAGGAAAGGACAGGACAGGCGUGGACGUUAACAAAAGGGUGUUUUCUGCAAUAAAUGAGAGAUAAUUCAAAGUAACUCAUAAUAACAUGGUUUACAGUCACUUUUACAGCAUCAUUUUAUUGUGAUUUUUGUUUUAUUCUAAAUCUUUUAGUCAUUGCACUAGUUUCAAUCAAUUUUUCCUUGGUUUUUAUAUUAAUUACUGUAUUUAUUUUAGAAUAUUUAUUUUGAAAAUUUGAAGUGUUAAUUUUCAUGACUGAGAAAAAUCUGAUUUUGGCCACCAAAUGUAACAUUUAGCCAAUAAACUCCUACUUUCUUACUCAUUUAAA